AUUAACAUUAAGAAGAAAAAUAAGUAUAAAAAACACUAUAUGUGUUUACGAGCUCUGGAAGUUGGAAGAACAGUGCGGAUUCAAUGUUCCGUUUCAAAGAAGUUGAAAAUAUUGGAAAAAUCAUACACCGAAAUAAUAGAACUUAUCAAAUUCGUCUAGAUAGUGAGAUAACUUAUUGGAAAAAUAGGAAGUUUCUACGUUUGUUUGGUGGAGAAGAGGAGAGGGAAAACUGUAAAGGAGAAUAUGAAAAUAUUAAUAGUAUAAUGAAAUUGAAAAAUAAUGUGAAGAAACAGAUCAUGUUUUUUAUAUAGUACUUGCUCGUUCGAGAAAAAGGGAGUGUUAUAAAUUGAUGUAGUUCAUACUUGUGGAUAUUAUAUUGUUAUUAUGUGUAUCUUAAUUAUACAUAUAUAUGUUUUGCAAGAUAUUAUAUUGCUACUAUGUGUGCCAGUAUUAUAUAUAUCCCAUGAAAGUGUAAAGUAAUUAUAAAGUGCACAGUUUUAAUAUAGACCACUAUGGAGAAAGGUGCAUAAGUCUUACUUUUAAAGAUUCUUAUAGUUAAUUAAAAUGAAGUUUAAUUUAAAAAAAUGAAAACCUUGUCGAAUUGUAGAAUCAAGAAUGAAGAUUGUUUCUUCUUUGAUACGAUGGAAAAUGUAAACUAAACACGCAACUUCUUAUACACUAUGACGUCACUAUUAAAAGCAUGGUGGAAGCCCCGACCUUUAUAAUAACUGGAUGCACAACCUAUAGAAUAAAAAGGACAACAAGAGCGAGUUACCCUUCUGCUUUUGGCAGCCAUCUUCAGUACCUAUUUUGUACAAAACACUCUUUAGUGACUUGUCAUACAAGUCGAGUAUUACCAUGUAUUGUGUCGCAUUUGGUUGCAAAAACAAGUAUGCUGCUGGCAAUUCAAUUUCAUAUCAUCGUUUUCCGACCCAGGAUCCAGAGAGGUGCAACCAAUGGGUAAGGAAUUUCAAGCAAGAUUACUUUACUCCCAAAAAGUUUUUGAGAAUUUGUUCGGGAAUAUUUUACUCCAGCAUCCUUCAAUCGGAGUCUGGACGUUGUAAGGCUAAGUAAAAAUAAUGUGCCUACUCUGUUCAAAACAUUCCCGCUUCGCCUUCAAGAAGAAGUUGCAAGAACUCUUCGAAAACGCAAGUCUCCUAUAAGGAGGUCCACAUCACCUUCUAAAAAGGUUAAACCAUCUCCUGGACUCGAGAUAGAUCCUUCCCACUUUGAGGCUUCGGAAAAUGUGCAAUUGAAGCAUCCUUAUUCUCUCCCAUCAGCUCAAGUCAUUAAGGAGAAGCUCCUAUGGCAAACGAAUAUGAUUUCCGAGCUUGUAGACCGUUCUAAAAAAAAUACAAAUGUCAAUGGAAUACAAUCUCCAAGAAGUUAGGAAACUUGGUUGACGUUUUAAAAGGCCUAAGGUCCAAGAGAAUGCUAUCAGAAGAGGAUUUAUCCAUUCUUGAUACAAUGUCUGACGUUCCUCAAAACAUUUUAAAAAGGAUGCAAAUCGGAAGUGGUAUAAAGGGAAGUCGCAGUAGCUACUCUCCUGAGCUCCGAGCAUUUGCUUUGACAUUGUUAUUCUACUCAACAAAAGCUUAUAGUUAUGUAAGAAAGACCUUUGACUUAUGCCUAACUUAUAUCAGUACCAUUCGAAACUGGUAUUCGAAUUUCUAUAGGGAUCCGGAUUUUUCUCAAUCCUCCUUUGAUAUUCUUAAAUCAAAGGGCAAUAAAGCUCUUGAAUCUAAAGAAGAGAUUCUCGUCAAUUUGACAUUAGACGAAAUGUCAGUUUUCAAAAAAAAUUCAAUGGGAUGGGAAAAGAUUUGAUGGAUAUGUCAACAUCGGUCUUGAUGAAGAACUUAGUGAGACUAUACCGGGAUGCCAGGCCCUUGUCUUUAUGGUUGUGUCUUUAAAUCAGCAUUAGAAGGUUCCAGCCGCUUAGUUUUUGACUGGCUCCGAAAAAGCAAAUCUUGAAAAUUAAGCCCGUAGUCCUUCGAAUGAUUGAAGUUUUUCCAACUCUUCGAGAAACCUCAAUUCGACCCUUCUACUAUCUUUAUCCACCAUAACUUUGAUAGAUGCAAACGUAUUUCUAACUAAUUUUAAAUAAUGGUAUGUUUCCAAUAAAACAAAGACUUUUUGGUGGCCAUCACUGGGACAAUAUGUCCAAAACUCCUUGCCUGGUUCCAAAUUAUCUCCCAAUUUUUUAGCAUAGUUUGAUGGCUACUAGGUACAUCGCAAGUGAAUGAAGUUACUGUUAUAUUGAUUGAAUGGAGCCUUCUCAGACAUUGAUUGACUAUUAAAGGUACAAUAGAUGGAAAGCAUAUACGGAUACAAGAGCCAAUUAUUUCUGGAUCAGAAUAUUUAAAUUAUAAGAGAUUUCAUUUGAUUGUGGUAUUGGCAUUUGUAAUGCUAACUAUUGAUAUUACAAUAAUUAUUUUUAUGUUUUUAAACUUAGAGUCAAUUUAAAAAAAAAAUGUUUUAUCCUUGUGCAGACGCUAUAUUAAUAUCCUCUGUAUCGUUUUCAUUUUAAUGUAUGUAAUGUCAAAGUCGCACCUUUAAUAUAUAUAUUUUUUUUUUCCAAUCAGAUUGUUAAUCUUGGCAUUGGAAAGAAAGGUUGUCACAGUGAUGGAAAAGUCCUUUCAGAUUCUAUUUGUGGCAGAUCUUUGAUGGAUGGGACCUUAGAUUUUCCAGCUCCCAAGGGACCUCCUAACACAAAUAUAAAAGUGCCUCAUGUCCUCCUUGGUGAGGAAAUCUUCCCCUUAAGAUUAAAUUUAAUACGCCCAUAUCCAAGGAAAGAUUUGAAUGAAGAACAGGCCGUAUUCAAUUAUAGACAAUCUAAGGCUAGAAGAGUCGUUGAAAAUGCUUUCGGUAUCCUUGCUAAAUGGUUGGAGAAUAUUUCGAGGAGAAAUUAAAGAUUAUUCAGACCGCUGAGUCAUUAAAUAUACAAAGUCAACCAUUAUUUUCCAUAACUUUCUUUAACAUUACAUUGGACACAAUUUCAUAAAGAAGUUGCUUACUUGUAAGAAUAUCUUCAUUUGUGAUGAAAAAGUGGUUCUGGCUUUGUAAAAAACAUGUAAUGAAGCGUUUAUAUCACAUAAAUUAUAAUGGGCAUGCAACUAUCAUAAAGUUUGUAGAAGAGCCAUAAUGAAGACAAGAAAUUAAAUUUCUACUCAAUGAAUUUGCUAUUAAUAUUCCUUUUAAUAGUUAUGUUAUUCAACAAAUUUCAUUUAUUUAACCUGCUCAAUGUAAAGUAAUUCAUGUUUUUGAAUUUAUAUGUUUUCAUAUGUAUUCAUUUUAUUAAAACGUAUUAAUAUAAAA
rnacentral:misc_RNA from 1 species